rnacentral:rRNA from 1 species
AUUGAACGCUGGCGGCGGGCCUAACACAUGCAAGUCGAGCGAGCGGCGGACGGGUGAGUAAUGUCUGGAAAACUGCCUGAUGGAGAGAGAUAACUACUGGAAACGGUAGCUAAUCCCGCAUACCAUCAGAUGUGCCCAGAUGGGAUUAGCUAGUAGGUGGGGUAAUGGCACACCUAGUGGACGAUCACUAGCUGGUCUGAGAGGAUGACCCGCCACACUGGAACGUAGACACGGUCCAGACUCCUACUGGAGGCAGCAGUGGGGAAUAUUGCACAAUGGGCGCAAGCCUGAUGCAGCCAUGCCGCGUGUGUGAAGAAGGCCUUCGGGUUGUAAAGCACUUUCAGCGGGGAGGCGUUACCCGCAGAAGAAGCACCGGCUAACUCCGUGCCAGCAGCCGCGGUAAUUC